GCUCACUGAUAUUAUUAAAGAGCUGCAGUAUUUUAACUGUACAAAGGUAGCAUAAUCAUUAGUUUUUUAAUUGAAGACUGGUAUGAAAGGUUAGACGUAAUUUAACUGUCUUUGCUAUAUAUAAUGAAAUUAAUUUAUUUGUGAAAAAGCAGCAAUUAGGUAAAGGGACAAGAAGACCCUAUUAAAUUUAAAUAUACUAUUUAUUAUUUUACAUAUAAGUUGUGAAUAUUUUAUAUAUUUUAUUUGGGGCGAAUAAUAUUAAUAAUACAAUAUUAUAAUUUAAUAAUUUAUUUAACAUUUAUUUGGUCUAGUGUUAGGCUAAUUAGAAGAAUAAAUUACUGUAGGGAUAACAGCGUAAUAUUUUUUAAGAGUUCAUAUUGACAAGAAUGUUUGCGACCUCGAUGUUGGAUUAAGAAUUCUGUUUGACGUAAAGGUUAUAGUAGAUAGUCUGUUCGACUAUUAAAUUCUUACAUGAUCUGAGUUCAAACCGGAG
rnacentral:rRNA from 1 species